rnacentral:rRNA from 1 species
GACGGAGGGUGCUAGCGUUGUUCGGAAUCACUGGGCGUAAAGGGCGCGUAGGCGGCUUCAGGUGUCGGAUGUGAAAGCCCGGGGCUCAACCCCGGAGGUGCAUCCGAAACUCUGGAGCUGGAGGCCGGAAGAGGAGGGUGGAAUACCCAGUGUAGAGGUGAAAUUCGUAGAUAUUGGGUGGAACACCGGUGGCGAAAGCGGCUCUCUGGUCCGGUUCUGACGCUGAGGCGCGAAAGCGUGGGGAGCAAACAGG